ACAGUAAAUUUCUCCUAGCUGAAAAGGUUAAUUUUUCUCAAACAACUGCUUUAUUGUUGAACAGUAUGAAACUUGGAGCUGUUGACUAUAAACGAUGGUUUGAUCAAACCAUGUCAGACAGUGACACUAUAUUGUAGUCUCCAAACAUUGUUCAACUGUAUGGCGACGAAAACUCGUUUAAUAUUGUAGCAAUGUAAGAUCACCUCAUAUCAAACUGUUAGCCUUCACAGUUGCGCAACACACCUACACCACUGCAUUUUACUAUAAAUCACAUUUGUUCAACACUUUGGUAAAUAGUUACACGCUUUUGUAUUCGUGAGCAUAAGCUUCCAGCUUGUUUCUACUGCAUUUUCGCGAAACACAUCAAAAGGUUCCAUCUAUGGUACGCAAAGCAAGCAUCAUCGCACUUUUAACUCAGAUAAAAUUAAAAAUUCAGUGCAUUAGAAUGAUUUAAUGCAUUUUCAGAUUUUUCGGCAUGUUUUCAUCGAAAAUCUUCAUAGCAGUUCCACACUUUGAUGACAGUGUAAAAUUUUGCGUGUUUAUGAGUAUCACAUUUCCAAAAUUUAAUUAGACCCACUUUGAAUGUUACUCGAGUUCCGCGAGUUUUGCUUGUUCGAAAGCUGCACAAAAUCCAAGGCAGAAUCAACAAUGUGGUGGAUUACCACAAACAACACCGUGAAAAGUUGGCCGAAUACGCUUCUGGGGAGGCUUCUUCCACUGCGGCCGCAGUACAGACCGGAUAUAAACAACAUUCGAGCCCAGGUCCAGCCAAGGGCAGGAAUAGACGGAACCAUGGAGCUUGUUUUUGGAGGUCGGAUGUACCGCAGACGUUGGCCAAACAGCUGCUGGAGAUAGCCAAAACAUAUUCAGCGUUUGGUAGUCAUCAGAAAGUGCAUAAUUUGGUUGGUCUACGGAUGACACUUAUCGGACAGUAGGCGGACAUCACUGACGAAGGAACCGA